AUUUCCUUUUCAUUUCAAGAAUUCUCUCUCCGGGUUUGUUUUUAUUGUUUUUGUUUAGUAGAAUCUUCAAGAACCAUCUGAAGAAUUCGAUCAUAAUUCUUUUUUUAAUUAAUCUUUUCGCUCUAUAUUACAAUCUUAUGGCCUCGGUUUUUUCACCUACUUCUUGCAAGCCGAUAUCUUUUCUUUGAUUUCUACUGGGACAGUGUUUUCAACCUUAAACGCAUAUCCAUCUUUAACAGUUUUGGCUUUAAGGAUCGAGAUAUGAUCCAUGAAAGCGCGAACUUUUUAGAAAAUUUACGAAUGUUGGAUAUUAUAAUAGGUUCUUGGUAGGUCACUUGUUACCCUAGUGAAAAAGAUUUAAUACUAAGAUUGCUGGUGCAAGAGAUUCAAGAAAAUGAUUAUAAUUCGGUCUGCCAUGUUCUAGUUCAUAUGUAGUGGUUCAAUCAUACAUUAGAUAUGGAUCAUCCAAUAGCCAUUUUCUUGAAUUCAGCUAGUUCAUUUCUUCUCUUGAAUUUUUUUUUUGAAUAUAUAUGAAGGGGCUUUUCUUGAGCUGAAGCAUUUUCUUGGGUAGAUUUCUUUUCUUGGUCAAUAGCCAUUUACUUGAGUUGAUUUCUUGAGUUGGUAGCCAUUCUCUCAUGUCACUACUUAUCCACUAUGGUAUUUCAUAUGCACUGUUCUACAGCCAUUCGUGAGUUAAUGCCCAUGUUCCUGAGUCAUUAUUCCUAAGUGUGGGUUGAAUUACAAAUGGAUCAUCCAAUAGCCAUUUCCUGAGUUCAUAUAUAGUCAUAGAUACUGGUUGAAUUAUAUGGUGAAUGUGGGUUGUUCGCAAACUGUUUUCAUGUGUCGGCCUCUUUAUUGUAAUAUUAAAAUAGCUGCCCUUCUAGCAACCAAAUUAAAAUAACUAAUGCUAUUAAUUUUUUGUAAUAUUAACUAAUGCUAUUAACUAAGGUUCCAGGUAAUUGAGAAGAGAACCAUGUCCUGUUGUUGCUUGCUGAACCUUUUUGGGGGCCCUAGCUAUAGUUCUGUUCCUAUGAUUGUUUUCCAGCUGUGGGUAUUUUGUUGUUUCUUUAAUCAGUACCCAGCAAACAUCCUGCUACUCUUCUCUUGUCGGGGCUGAGGGUUAAAUCUCUGCCUUAUGUUGGGGCUGAGGGUCAGAAUAGAACAUCUUCUAAUCUUUCAGACUUUAGGGAAGAAACAAUUGAAAAAUCAAGCGAAUGCACGAUCUUCUUUUCCCUAUGUCCCUUCGGCCAUUUGUAAUAAACAAGGCCUAUUUUUAGCUAAUAGAGUUGGCAUAGGCAAGUAUGUAGAUUUCCUAGUUUCUUACUGUAGAUGUUUGUAGUCAUCAGUUCCUGAACAGGAGUUGCAGGGGUUUCCUGGAACUACAAUUGGAAUUCCUGAUUCUUCCUUUGUACCAUGGGCUUGAACCACUACUUACAACUAUACCAGGUUCACGGUUUGACAGUCAGAAGUAUCAGAAGGCAAACACUGAGGUUGAAUGCUAUUUCUAGAAGAUUAUAAUAUCUCUCUAUUUUCAUAACUCCUGUCUUGCUGUACUUGACCUUUUUAGCUUUAGUUUUCCCAAUAAUGGGGGCCUUGCCAAGGCUUGGAAUGAGGCUAACCGGGCUCCAGUUCUUCACCAAGUUAAGGACAAAGAAAGAGAAAAUGGACCUCACUUUUCCGAGUUGAGCUAAUUUAAGACCAUAUCUCUGGCUCUCACCUUUAACCCUCUUGGGAUGUUCCAGGUUGCAGAGAGGAAGUGGAGCUCACUCCUUCAAGUAUAAACAAAUUCAUAACCACAGCUCCAGGUCUCACCUUCAACACACUUGGGAUGAUUUCAACUUUUGUCAAUCUUGAUAUGGGAAGCCUUUGACGUGACUGACUACUCACAGUAACAAUCCUAUACACCAACAUGAGAGAAGAAUGUGUCAUACAUAAGCUUGUUAAAUCAUUUGUGAACUGCAGGGUUUUGUUCUGUCUUGCAGGGCUGCCACAGUGGUUGUUGUCUAUUUUCAUGCAUUUCUUAGUUGACAGUAGUUAUGCUGCUAUUCCAUUCUGUCCAGCAAAGCUCCAACUUCUUGGGAUGUCUGAAGGUGAUGAACAUCGAAUGCGUGAUUUUAACUUCAUUAUGGAAAGAAGUUUGUGGACAAAAGUGAUGAAAAUAUCAACAUACAAGUUGGUCAUUAAUCUUUCUAUGGAUAAACUUUUAUAAUUUGCUGCUUAGAAACUUGAUAAUAGUCUUGCUAAUUAGUUUCUGACAGUUUGUUUGAUGACUCUUGAUAUGUGCUCAAAUGAAGUCUUUGCCAUUAUGCGGCAUCAACUCUUCAUCUUGUAUAGCUGGGUUGAAUGUAAGGCAUCGGUAUACUGUAUACCACAGACUGGUAUCAAAUGAGGACACAUAAUAUUGGUGUCAGACAAAUUGCUGGUAUCCAAAUGAGCCAACAAGGGCACACUAUUGUCGUGCAUUUUUUAGAUGCAUGCAUAUAGUAAAUGCCGGUUCAACAAACCUUAAUUUGGACUAUUGUGUGGAAGCCUACCUACAUAUUAACUCUUCUCUCUGUCUCUAUUUAUAUAUGAGUGCGGUUAGAUUGCACAUUGUGAAAAAAGAAGAAUUUUACACCCAUCACCAAAUACGAUGUUGGUGGUCAAAAAAUAAAAAAUGUGAGCCAUUGGAUAUGAUGUAGAAGGCCUAGAAUAUCUAUAUACAAAAAGUCAUGAAUCAUGAUUUCUAGACCCUGGACUAUGCAUCAAAUUACCCCAAAAAAAAUGCACUAUAAUGUUCUAUUACAACUAUAUAUUUGGGGUACUUUAUAUGCAGACUAGAGAUCUGCAAGUUAGAUGAUUUUAAGUCUAAAUAUAUUUUAAAAGCUUCUAAAUCACAUCCAACAGCUUACAUUUUUCAUUUCUUGACCACUAAGUUGAAAUUGGUGACGAAUGUAGAGUCUUUUCUUUACACCUGGGUAUAUUAUCACCAAACCCUAUAUAUAUUUUUACAUUUAUGCAUAUAUAUAAGUCGAUCCCUGAUAAUUGAGACAAGUCUAGAUGAUCGUGAUUUAUUUAUUUGUAGAAGUUUGUUGCAACCAUUAGAUUGAGAUCUGGUGGCUCUGGACUAAAGGCUUUAAUGGUCAAAUGGAUCAGAAUACCUUCCACCAGCACCAAUCCAAUGGUUAACUGGGUCUCCACUUCUCCAGUCACAAUCAAAUGAGGACCUGUCCCCUCCAAUUUUCUGCCUUACCAAUUCUGUCUUAUAACAAAAAUCAUAAUAAUGUUUUAUUAUGAUUUUUAUUAUAUGACCUAUUAAAUCAGGCUGAAGUGAACAUUAGCCAAACUAACUUUUCUUCCUCUUGAUUUUCUCCAUCGUAUUUCUUCAGAAUAGACAGAUAAAGCUGAUUUAAUGUUUGAAUCCUCUGAUCCAAAGCUCCCCUGCCACUCAGCUAUUAACUAUCACAAUCUUUACGGAAAAGUUAAGUUUACUUAAAGCAAGGGAUUUUUUUGUCAAUUCAAAACAUUUUAGAAGCUUCAUACAAGAAUAAUAAUGUAAAAAAUAAUAGAUAUCUUAUGUGGAGUACUCAUACUGUAGAGACCCACGUUUGAGUUGGGCCGGCCUCUGAGAAGGGCGGCCCAACUCGUGAAAAUGGGGGAGGGAGUCUCCCGAAUCGAAAAGCUCCUCCCCUGUUUUUCGGAAGCCUUCCCCUCCUCCCGAAUCCACCGGGAAGGAGGAUCUUAGGGCGAUAAAAACCCUACCGAAUCAGGAAGAUCUCCUCUCUCUCUUCCCCUAGGGCAUCAACCGAGGGCUUCUACACACAGAAGGAAAAAAAAAAGAGAGAGGAAGAGAUCGGGUUUCUACCUUGCCAUGGGGAGGAUCGGAGCUUUCGCCGUCGAUCCGGUCGGGAGGACCUCGCCGGAGGCAAGGUGAGCAUCUUCUCCCUCUCCUCCAUCAUCUUUGGCCCUUAUCUCUUUGGGGAAUGAGGCCGGAAAGCUGCCGGGUUGAUGGAGAAGCCGACGCCUUGUUCGACCUUCUCCUCUCUCGUUCCGGCCGGUCGUCACCGGUCGGGGACACACCGCCGGCACACCGGCCCUGCCACAGGCCGACGACUAGGGGCAUCGCCAGCCGUGGGCCACCGGCGGCCGAACCCCCUUCUCCCCUUUCCGUCGGGAAGAAGGAAGAAGAGAGGAAGAGAGAGGGUCUUUCCCCUCUCUUUCUCUUAUUAUAUAACCCUUUUAUUAUAUUAUUUGUUUAUUUGUUGUUGGGUUUCCUUUUUACUCUUGGAUCCGGGAAGAUCAUGGCUUUAAGGACUCUAGAUAGACUUGGGAUGCUAGAUUUUAGAGGACCCUUUAGAGGAUUAAACAGGGAUCCUAGAUCAUCAUAUAUCUUUGAUAAAUUUUAAUAAUGACUUGGU